AUUGAACGCUGGCGGCAGGCCUAACACAUGCAAGUCGAACGGUAACAGGAAGCAGCUUGCUGCUUCGCUGACGAGUGGCGGACGGGUGAGCAAUGUCUGGGAAGCUGCCUGAUGGAGGGGGAUAACUACUGGAAACGGUAGCUAAUACCGCAUAAUGUCGCAAGACCAAAGAGGGGGACCUUCGGGCCUCUUGCCAUCGGAUGUGCCCAGAUGGGAUUAGCUUGUUGGUGGGGUAACGGCUCACCAAGGCGACGAUCCCUAGCUGGUCUGAGAGGAUGACCAGCCACACUGGGACUGAGACACGGUCCAGACUCCUACGGGAGGCAGCAGUGGGGAAUAUUGCACAAUGGGCGCAAGCCUGAUGCAGCCAUGCCGCGUGUAUGAAGAAGGCCUUCGGGUUGUAAAGUACUUUCAGCGGGGAGGAAGGGAGUAAAGUUAAUACCUUUGCUCAUUGACGUUACCCGCAGAAGAAGCACCGGCUAACUCCGUG
rnacentral:rRNA from 1 species